AGUGAACGCUGGCGGUAGGCCUAACACAUGCAAGUCGAGCGGCAGCACAGUAAGAGCUUGCUCUUACGGGUGGCGAGUGGCGGACGGGUGAGGAAUACAUCGGAAUCUACUUUUUCGUGGGGGAUAACGUAGGGAAACUUACGCUAAUACCGCAUACGACCUACGGGUGAAAGCAGGGGAUCUUCGGACCUUGCGCGAUUGAAUGAGCCGAUGUCGGAUUAGCUAGUUGGCGGGGUAAAGGCCCGCCAAGGCGACGAUCCGUAGCUGGUCUGAGAGGAUGAUCAGCCACACUGGAACUGAGACACGGUCCAGACUCCUACGGGAGGCAGCAGUGGGGAAUAUUGGACAAUGGGCGCAAGCCUGAUCCAGCCAUACCGCGUGGGUGAAGAAGGCCUUCGGGUUGUAAAGCCCUUUUGUUGGGAAAGAAAAGCAGCAGGUUAAUACCCCGCUGUUCUGACGGUACCCAAAGAAUAAGCACCGGCUAACUUCGUG
rnacentral:rRNA from 1 species